rnacentral:rRNA from 1 species
CAAAACUCUAAGGACUUGACGGUGCCCCACACCGACCUAGAGGAGCCUGUCCUAUAAUCGAUACUCCGCGCUAAACCUCUCCCCCCCUAGCACCAAAUCAGCCUAUAUACCGCCGUCGCCAGCCUGCCUAGUGAUAGCCUUCCACAGCAGGCAGAACAGCCACCCCUCUAACACGUCAGGUCAAGGUGUAGCUCACGGGGGGGCCAGAGAUGGGCUACAUUUUCUAGCCCCCUAGAAAACACUACAGGCAACAUGAAAUCUAAGCCACCCGGCGGAUUUAGCAGUAAACUGGGCAAGAGACGCCCAAUUGAAACAUGCCCUGGGGCGCGUACACACCGCCCGUCACCCUCCUCAACAAACCCUGCCCCCC